UAUGGCUUAGUGGUAGAGUGCUUGCCUAGCAUGCAUGAAGCCCUGGGUUCGAUUCCUCAGUA
rfam:Dipodomys ordii contig_11806, whole genome shotgun sequence.